rfam:Lutzomyia longipalpis Contig19914, whole genome shotgun sequence.
AAAACCGCCCUUUUCAGGGCGACAAAUUAAAUUCACAUAAAGAGUUU